UACAGAGGAGCCAAGCGUUGUCCGGAUUGACUGGGCGUAAAGCGCACGCAGGUGGUCGUGCAAGUGUCGUGUGAAAGCAGCUCGCUCAACGAGCUGAGGCAUGGCAGACUGCAUAACUCGAGCCCGUGAGAGGUCGGUGGAAUUGCCGGUGUAGUGGUGACAUGCGUAGAGAUCGGCAGGAACAUCCAAGGGGAAGCCAGCCGACUGGCACGGUGCUGACACUGAGGUGCGACAGCGUGGGGAGCAAACGGU
rnacentral:rRNA from 1 species